ACAAGCUUAGUUUAAUUGGGAAAACAUCAGUCUCCAAAACUGAAAGUUGAGAGUUGAGUCUUUCAGCUUGUGCCA
rnacentral:tRNA from 1 species